UACGGAGGGAGCAAGCGUUACUCGGAAUUACUGGGCGUAAAGGGCGCGUAGGCGAUUAAGUAAGUCUUGUGUGAAAGCCCAUGGCUUAACCAUGGAAGUGCACGAGAAACUGUUUGAUUUGAGUUCCGGAGAGGAAGGCAGAAUUCCCGGUGUAGCGGUGAAAUGCGUAGAUAUCGGGAGGAAUACCAGUGGCGAAGGCGGCCUUCUGGACGGAUACUGACGCUGAGGCGCGAAAGCCAGGGGAGCAAACGGG
rnacentral:rRNA from 1 species